rnacentral:misc_RNA from 1 species
AUGGGUUCAAUAGAAGGUGUUCCAACAAUUGGAGAUAUUGCCGCUAGUCGGCAUCAAAUGGGACUAUGGUCAUGUAUGAGUUAUGUUAUUGCAAAUAUAAUUGGAGCUGGAAUUUUUAUAACACCCGGACCAAUUCUUCAAUACACAUUUUCCAAUGGAUUAGCUCUUCUUGUAUGGAUUGGAUGUGGAUUAAUAUCACUUAUUGGUGGUAUUUGUUAUAUUGAAUUGGGUACUUCGAUUCACGAUCCUGGAUGUGAUUUUGCAUACACUGUGAGAGAAAAAACUAGGUUUACGUCGGCUGGGAAGGAAUUGCAUUCUCAUUUAUGUGGGUCGGAGUGAUCAUGUCAUUCCCAGCUUCUGCUGCUGUUCAGGCUUUAACUUUUGGUCAAUACAUUGUUGCCGGUAUGGCACCAAUCUGGCCAUUAGAGCAUCCAUGGGAUGGGAUUAUUGAGAAGGGGCUUGGUUUUGCAUUGAUUAUUGUUCUCACAAUUCUAAACUUGUAUGCCAUUGACAAGUAUGCUUCAAAGUUUCAAAUCGUUGUCACUAUUGCAAAAAUGCUGUCUUUAGCAAUUAUCAUUGUUACCGGAUUUUAUUAUUUAAUUUUUAAAGGACAAACCGAGUACCUCGAGCAUCCAUUCGAAGGCUCCAACACUAAUCCUGGACAAAUUUCACUUGCAUUCUACGGAGCUCUGUGGAGUUUUGCCGGAUGGGAUAUUCUCAAUUUUGGAACUCCAGAAAUUCGUAAUCCAAGAAGAACAAUGCCAAUUGCAUUGCUCGGCGGUGUGUCAAUUGUCACCGCAGUCUAUCUUGCAAUGAAUAUUUCCUACAUGACUGUUCUGACACCCGGGCAAAUCAUGAACAGUACUGCGGUGGCUGCAGAUUUUGCACAGAUCACCUUAGGAGGCUUCUCUUAUGCCAUUCCAUUUAUGAUUGCUCUUUUGCUCAUUGGAACUCUUAACAGCAAUAUUUUCUGUGGAUCUAGAUUCACACACGCAGCCGCACGGGAAGGACAUCUUCCCACAUUUCUAUCGUGUAUAAAUGAAGAAUCAAAUAGUCCAAGAGCGGCCCUACUUUUCCAGCUGGUUUGUACAGUUGUUGUUACUUUUAUCGAUACUAACAGCUUAAUCAACUAUGUGUCAUUUGUCAUGUUCGGACAACGUGUAUUCACAAUGACGGCCCUGAUGUGGAUUCGAUAUCGAAAUAUUCCUGUACAUCCAGAUGCGAUUCGGGUUCCACUCAUCUUUUCAUUUCUAUUUUGGCUGAUCACAAUUGCACUGGUAGUAGUGCCUUUUAUCGAGGAGUUUACGCAAACAAUCGUAGGUGUUGGAUUAGUGUUAAUGGGCGUUUUCUUGUAUAUUAUUUUUAUGAAACCCAUGAAACUUCCGGAGUUUUUAAUUAGGUUCAAUGACAGCAUGACACGUAUCACAUGCAAAAUUCUGUUCACCACACCAGAUUUGAAGCAUCACUCUGAAACUAGAACGCUGAAAUCCGAAAACAGUGGAGAGACUGUUGUGACCCGAUUCAAUUACGAAGCAGUUGCCUCACAAGAUGACCGUACAAAACUUCCCACAACUCAUGUUGAUGAGACUGGAUUCUAA